rnacentral:rRNA from 1 species
AGUGAACGCUGGCGGUAGGCCUAACACAUGCAAGUCGAACGGCAGCACAGCAAGAGCUUGCUCUUACGGGUGGCGAGUGGCGGACGGGUGAGGAAUACAUCGGAAUCUACUUUUUCGUGGGGGAUAACGUAGGGAAACUUACGCUAAUACCGCAUACGACCUACGGGUGAAAGCAGGGGAUCUUCGGACCUUGCGCGAUUGAAUGAGCCGAUGUCGGAUUAGCUAGUUGGCGGGGUAAAGGCCCACCAAGGCGACGAUCCGUAGCUGGUCUGAGAGGAUGAUCAGCCACACUGGAGCUGAGACACGGUCCAGACUCCUACGGGAGGCAGCAGUGGGGAAUAUUGGACAAUGGGCGCAAGCCUGAUCCAGCCAUACCGCGUGGGUGAAGAAGGCCUUCGGGUUGUAAAGCCCUUUUGUUGGGAAAGAAAAGCAGCAGGUUAAUACCCCGCUGUUCUGACGGUACCCAAAGAAUAAGCACCGGCUAACUUCGUG